GAUGGCGACCCGGCGCACGGGUGAGUAACACGUAUCCAACCUGCCGUCUACUCUUGGACAGCUUUCUGAAAGGAAGAUUAAUACAAGAUGGCAUCAUGAGUCCGCAUGUUCACAUGAUUAAAGGUAUUCCGGUAGACGAUGGGGAUGCGUUCCAUUAGAUAGUAGGCGGGGUAACGGCCCACCUAGUCUUCGAUGGAUAGGGGUUCUGAGAGGAAGGUCCCCCACAUUGGAACUGAGACACGGUCCAAACUCCUACGGGAGGCAGCAGUGAGGAAUAUUGGUCAAUGGGCGAGAGCCUGAACCAGCCAAGUAGCGUGAAGGAUGACUGCCCUAUGGGUUGUAAACUUCUUUUAUAAAGGAAUAAAGUCGGGUAUGCAUACCCGUUUGCAUGUACUUUAUGAAUAAGGAUCGGCUAACUCCGUGCCAGCAGCCGCGGUAAUACGGAGGAUCCGAGCGUUAUCCGGAUUUAUUGGGUUUAAAGGGAGCGUAGAUGGAUGUUUAAGUCAGUUGUGAAAGUUUGCGGCUCAACCGUAAAAUUGCAGUUGAUACUGGAUAUCUUGAGUGCAGUUGAGGCAGGCGGAAUUCGUGGUGUAGCGGUGAAAUGCUUAGAUAUCACGAAGAACUCCGAUUGCGAAGGCAGCCUGCUAAGCUGCAACUGACAUUGAGGCUCGAAAGUGUGGGUAUCAAACAGGAUUAGAUACCCUGGUAGUCCACACGGUAAACGAUGAAUACUCGCUGUUUGCGAUAUACUGCAAGCGGCCAAGCGAAAGCGUUAAGUAUUCCACCUGGGGAGUACGCCGGCAACGGUGAAACUCAAAGGAAUUGACGGGGGCCCGCACAAGCGGAGGAACAUGUGGUUUAAUUCGAUGAUACGCGAGGAACCUUACCCGGGCUUAAAUUGCAGAUGAAUUACGGUGAAAGCCGUAAGCCGCAAGGCAUCUGUGAAGGUGCUGCAUGGUUGUCGUCAGCUCGUGCCGUGAGGUGUCGGCUUAAGUGCCAUAACGAGCGCACCCCUUGUUGUCAGUUACUA
rnacentral:rRNA from 1 species